AUAUAAAGUAAAAUAUUACAUUUAAUUUCGGCUUAAAAGUUUGAUUAAUUUGUUAAUCUAUAUU
rnacentral:tRNA from 1 species